rnacentral:lncRNA from 1 species
GAAUUUAAGCUUAGCAUAAAUAAUCAAGUUUAAAAUGAAAGAUGUGAAUUUAAACUUAUUUUAUACCUUCAAUUUGAAUUGAGUUUAAUCUUGAACUACUAUAAAUUAAGCUCGAGUCAACUAGAUUAAACCCGUUGUAGAAGCCCAAUUUCACCCUGGCCCAUUACAAACAAAUAAAAUACAUACACCCAAACCUCAACCCACCUAAACACUAACCCAACACCCAUGACCCAAACAUCAGCCCAAAUAAAUUAAAACCCUAAUGGCCUAACAAGCCCAAAACCUAAACCAUUUUUAGCCAAAAAACAAAAAAGAAAUAAACAAAAAAAAACCUAGCCGCUCUCCCUAGCCUAGCGCCGCAACCACCCUUAGUCUUCUGCUCACCUGCUCUGCCAGCAACCACCGCCAACUGCCACUGUCAUCUCCAUCCACGUGCGUUGGUCCCU